rnacentral:rRNA from 1 species
AACGAACGCUGGCGGCAUGCCUAACACAUGCAAGUCGAACGAGACCUUCGGGUCUAGUGGCGCACGGGUGCGUAACGCGGGGGAAUCUGCCCUUCGGUUGGGAAUAACUGAGAGAAAUUUCAGCUAAUACCUUAUAAUGUCUUCGGACCAAAGAUUUAUCGCCGAGGGAUGAGCCCGCGUAGGAUUAGGUAGUUGGUGGGGUAAUGGCCUACCAAGCCGACGAUCCUUAGCUGGUCUGAGAGGAUGAUCAGCCACACUGGGACUGAGCCACGGCCCAGACUCCUACGGGAGGGAGCAGUGGGGAAUAUUGGACAAUGGGCGAAAGCCUGAUCCAGCAAUGCCGCGUGAGUGAUGAAGGCCUUAGGGUUGUAAAGCUCUUUUACCCGGGAUGAUAAUGACAGUACCGGGAGAAUAAGCUCCGGCUAACUCCGUG